rnacentral:rRNA from 1 species
GUCCACACCCUAAACGAUGAUAACUCGUUGUUGGCGAUACACAGUCAGCGACUAAGCGAAAGCAUUAAGUUAUCCACCUGGGGAGUACGGUCGCAAGACUGAAACUCAAAGGAAUUGACGGGGGCCCGCACAAGCGGAGGAGCAUGUGGUUUAAUUCGAUGAUACGCGAGGAACCUUACCUGGGCUUGAAAGUUAGUGAAUGACGCAGAAACGUGUCAGCUCGAAAGAGCACGAAACUAGGUGCUGCAUGGCUGUCGU